AGCUCCAAUAGCGUAUAUUAAAGUUGUUGCAGUUAAAAAGCUCGUAGUUGGAUUUCUGGGGACGCGAGUUGGCCUUCUCCGCAAGGAGAUUGAGCCGCACUUCGCAUUCUCAUCCUCGGGUGGGUCCCUUCUGGCAUUAGGUUGUCGGUAGGGGGAAGCCCGUCGUUUACUGUGAACAAAUUAGAGUGUUCAAAGCAGGCUUAUGCCAUUGAAUACAUUAGCAUGGAAUAAUGAGAUAGGACCAUGGCGUUUUAUUUCGUUGGUUUGCGCGCCAAGGUAAUGAUUAAUAGGGACAGUUGGGGGUAUUCGUAUUCAAUUGUCAGAGGUGAAAUUCUUGGAUUUAUGGAAGACGAACAACUGCGAAAGCAUUUACCAAGGAUGUUUUCAUUAAUCAAGAACG
rnacentral:rRNA from 1 species